CCUACGGGAGGCUGCAGUGAGGAAUAUUGGUCAAUGGGCGGAAGCCUGAACCAGCCAAGUCGCGUGAGGGACUAAGGCCCUACGGGUCGUAAACCUCUUUUGCCGGGGAUCAGUGCCCAGCUCGCGAGCUGGGAGGGAGCGUACCCGGAGAAAAAGCAUCGGCUAACUCCGUGCCAGCAGCCGCGGUCAUACGGAGGAUGCGAGCGUUAUACGGAUUUAGUGGGUUAACAUGGUGCGUAGGGUGGCCUUCAGGCCGGCGGGAAAGUUGCGGGGCUCAACCCCGCCGGGCCGGCGGAACCGGGGGCCUUGAGUACCGGAGAAGUACGCGGAAUGCGUGGUGUAGCGGUGAAAUGCAUAGAUAUCACGCAGAACCCCGAGUGCGAAGGCAGCGUACCGGCCGGUCACUGACGCUGAGGCACGAAAGCGCGGGUAUCGAACAGGAUUAGAUACCCGGGUAGUC
rnacentral:rRNA from 1 species